rnacentral:rRNA from 1 species
AUUGAACGCUGGCGGCAGGCCUAACACAUGCAAGUCGAACGGUAACAGGAAGAAGCUUGCUUCUUUGCUGACGAGUGGCGGACGGGUGAGUAAUGUCUGGGAAACUGCCUGAUGGAGGGGGAUAACUACUGGAAACGGUAGCUAAUACCGCAUAAUGUCGCAAGACCAAAGAGGGGGACCUUCGGGCCUCUUGCCAUCGGAUGUGCCCAGAUGGGAUUAGCUAGUAGGUGGGGUAACGGCUCACCUAGGCGACGAUCCCUAGCUGGUCUGAGAGGAUGACCAGCCACACUGGAACUGAGACACGGUCCAGACUCCUACGGGAGGCAGCAGUGGGGAAUAUUGCACAAUGGGCGCAAGCCUGAUGCAGCUAUGCCGCGUGUAUGAAGAAGGCCUUCGGGUUGUAAAGUACUUUCAGCGGGGAGGAAGGGAGUAAAGUUAAUACCUUUGCUCAUUGACGUUACCCGCAGAAGAAGCACCGGCUAACUCCGG